CACACGGCCAAAGGGGAAGCAACUAGACAUCACAACACAGUGGGGCUAACGAAGCCAAUAGACGUGGACAGAUCCUGAUGAGAAAACAAACCUACAGCCAUACUUUCAGCCUGAGGUGACGUCAGUUUUUCUACAUAUGACGACUAAUGCUACAGCCUUCAUCUGCCUCUCUUGUGGCCAGGCAUUUGCAAUUUUUACAUUCUCAAAAUAUGCGACUGUGUGGAUAAUCUCGUCACUAGAUUAGUGGUCAGCUUCACGCCACUGCCACCUUAGCCGUGAGGAAAGGGCUUCCAGGACCCAACGUACAGGAGUCUGGGUGAGCCUGAGAACCAGUCUUGACGCAGGGAAUUUAACCCCCGCCUUUCAGCCCGAAGCCUGUCGCUGUACAGACGGAGUUAUCCCGGCUCCUUCCUUGUGGUUAUAACCGGAAUUAAAACACUUUA